AAUCCGGUACUCAUUAAGGCUGAGCUGUGAUGGGGAGAAGACAUUGUGUCUUCGAGUCGUUGAUUUCACACUGCCGAGAAAAGCCUCUAGAUAGAAAAUAGGUGCCCGUACCGCAAACCGACACAGGUAGUCAAGAUGAGAAUUCUAAGGUGAGCGAGCGAACUCUCGUUAAGGAACUCGGCAAAAUGACCCCGUAACUUCGGGAGAAGGGGUGCUCUUUAGGGUUAACGCCCAGAAGAGCCGCAGUGAAUAGGCCCAAGCGACUGUUUAUCAAAAACACAGGUCUCUGCUAA
rnacentral:rRNA from 1 species